rnacentral:rRNA from 1 species
UCGCCUGUUUAUCAAAAACAUUGCUUAUAGUUAUUUAAAUAUAAGUCUGCUCUGCUCAAUGUAUUUAAUAUAAAUGGCCGCAGUAUCUUAACUGUGCUAAGGUAGCAAAAUAAUUAGUCUAAUAAUUGUAGACUUGAAUGAAAGAGUUAACGUAUUUUAUCUUUUUUGGUAAUAAAUAUAACUUAAAAUUAAAGUCAAAAUUCUUUAAUAUACUAAAAAGACGAGAAGACCCUACAAAACUUUAAUUUAAUUAAUUAAACUUUUAUUAUUAAGAUCUUUCAAUUAAAUUAAACAAAUUUUAGCUGGGGCGGCUUAUAUUUAAUACUACUAACAAUAAAUUAUUUAUAACAUUUUUAAUGAAACUUAAUAACCUUUAAUAAAAUACAAAAUUUAAGUUACUUUAGGGAUAACAGCAUUUAAAUCUUUAAGAGACCAUAUCAAUAAGAAACAAUGUGACCUCGAUGUUGAAUCGGAAGUUCUUCUAAAAGCAGUUCUUUAGAAAAGAAAGUCUGUUCGACUUUUAAAAUUCCACAUGAUCUGAGUUCAAACCGGA